GGCCUCAGCUGGGGUUCCCGAAGGUCAGAAAAUGGCUAUUGAUUAAUCUAUUAGAAUAGUUGCCGAGUGAAAUAAAAACGACGUAAAAUAACAGGGAACCUAUAAAUAAAGAAGCCAUAACUAGCUGCUCCCGAGUUGUUAAACAACUUAGCAUGUGGGGAAAAAAAAUCGGAAAUGAAGUGCCGGGGAAGGAGCCGGGAUUGGCAGCGGCCUGGACUUAGAGAAACCUUCCAAGAUGUAACUUCCUCGGCAGUCAGCAGCAGGACAGGUGGAGGAUGCGGACCGUGCACGCCGAGUGUGUCUGGCAAGGAAAGACAGUGAUGCUGCACAGCUUUGUGGUCCGCAGGCUUUCGAGCCGUUUACAAUGCCAUCAAAACAGCCUCCCGCGAAACCGGCCAGAGUGUGAGCUGGCUGCCCGCUGCCCACAGAUGCAGAGGUCGUGGCUGCAACUGUCCGAGUAACCCAGACAUCACAACAGGAAGUUCGGAAGGACAAAAAAGGAAACCGAAAUUUACAAAUUCAAAAAUUCCUUUUCCUCGGCGUGGGUACCCAGCCCCAGUGGUUGGCUGGGGCCGCCGCAGCGCAAGCCACCGUGCGCCUAGGAGGCUGGGCCGGCGUGAACCAGUGCACGUGUGUGUGUGCGCGCACGGGAGGGUGGCGGCUUCGGGGGCCGCCCUCCGCAGUCUUCUGGAGGUAGCGUCUCAAUGAGCCUAAUUUGGAUUCCGCUGUCCCGCCCGGGCUGGCUCUCAGGAUUCCCUGGACGAUGCUGGUCGCUGCCUCUCACCUCCCCGGCCAAGACCUAGCCGGAACCGUCCAUUCCCCGGUGCCUCUUUGUAACCUCCCUGGGGGAAAGCGGGGGCUGAACAACUCCCAGCCGCCAGUCCCAUUUGUUGCGCUUUUUUCCUUCGACACAAUAAAAGUCAA